CGAACAACCUGCUUGGAUUUUAACUCCGGCCACCAUCAAGCCCCAACCACGUCGAACAAGCCCUAACUGCCAUCUCGAAAUUGGUCAAUGUGGAUCACAUGAAGCUCCAAAAAGGGAAAGUUCAAGUGAGAGCAAGUUGAGGAAUAUAUUGCAAGGAUCAGAGUAGAGUAUGUGCUUAACUAUGGGGCAGGGGUGGUGAUUCGAUGUUUGUGGGAGAUGUACCAUGGGAGUAAUGUUUGAAGCAACUUAACUUGUUUUGUUUGUCCACUUUCAUUAUGUUAUUUCCAGUUUAGUGUUGUAGCAUAUAGAAAGGAACUAAACUCAAGUAAUAAGAAUAAUUAAUAAAUUUCAGAGGUUUGAUUUGUUA